AGCCGCGGUAAUACGGAGGGUGCGAGCGUUAAUCGGAAUUACUGGGCGUAAAGCGCAUGCAGGUGGUUUGUUAAGUCAGAUGUGAAAGCCCGGGGCUCAACCUCGGAAUUGCAUUUGAAACUGGCAGGCUAGAGUACUGUAGAGGGGGGUAGAAUUUCAGGUGUAGCGGUGAAAUGCGUAGAGAUCUGAAGGAAUACCGGUGGCGAAGGCGGCCCCCUGGACAGAUACUGACACUCAGAUGCGAAAGCGUGGGG
rnacentral:rRNA from 1 species